rnacentral:rRNA from 1 species
CUCCUGGAAACGGGUGGUAAUGCCGGAUGUUCCACAUGAGCGCAUGCGAGUGUGGGAAAGGCUUUUUGCGGCAUGGGAUGGGGUCGCGUCCUAUCAGCUUGUUGGUGGGGUAACGGCCUACCAAGGCGUUGACGGGUAGCCGGCCUGAGAGGGCGACCGGCCACAUUGGGACUGAGAUACGGCCCAGACUCCUACGGGAGGCAGCAGUGGGGAAUAUUGCACAAUGGGCGCAAGCCUGAUGCAGCGACGCCGCGUGCGGGAUGGAGGCCUUCGGGUUGUAAACCGCUUUUAUUCAAGGGCAAGGCACGGUUUCGGCCGUGUUGAGUGGAUUGUUCGAAUAAGCACCGGCUAACUACGUGCCAGCAGCCGCGGUAAUACGUAGGGUGCAAGCGUUAUCCGGAUUUAUUGGGCGUAAAGGGCUCGUAGGCGGUUCGUCGCGUCCGGUGUGAAAGUCCAUCGCUUAACGGUGGAUCCGCGCCGGGUACGGGCGGGCUUGAGUGCGGUAGGGGAGACUGGAAUUCCCGGUGUAACGGUGGAAUGUGUAGAUAUCGGGAAGAACACC